AGAGUUUUAUUGGUGUACUUGCUCGGGAAAAAGUUAAUAUUAAUUACCACUCUUGGAAGCAAGUGCCGAAUGAAGUUGAGAACAUGAUAUGGGAAUCCGUCAAUUUGACAUACCAACUGGACCCAAAAUGGAGGAAUGGGUGUUUGAGCUCUGCAAACACCAAGUGGCGUCAGUAUAAAACUCACCUCACCAGGACAUUCAUCCAACCAAAUAGAAAUAAUCCGAAACUUCUCAACAAGGUACCUCAAGGGCAUUGCAUUUCACGUGAAGAUUGGAGUAGUUUUGUGAUUAAUCGGAUGUCUGAAGACUUUAUAAGGAAAAGUGAACUACAAAGUCAAAGAAGCAAGGCAAACUUAUACCCU